rnacentral:rRNA from 1 species
GACGAACGCUGGCGGCGUGCCUAAUACAUGCAAGUCGAACGCAUUUUCUUUCACCGUAGCUUGCUACACCGAAAGAAAAUGAGUGGCGAACGGGUGAGUAACACGUGGGUAACCUGCCCAUCAGCGGGGGAUAACACUUGGAAACAGGUGCUAAUACCGCAUAAUUCCAUUUACCGCAUGGUAAAUGGAUGAAAGGCGCUUUUGCGUCACUGAUGGAUGGACCCGCGGUGCAUUAGCUAGUUGGUGGGGUAACGGCCUACCAAGGCUGCGAUGCAUAGCCGACCUGGGAGGGUGAUCGGCCACACUGGGACUGAGACACGGCCCAGACUCCUACGGGAGGCAGCAGUAGGGAAUCUUCGGCAAUGGACGCAAGUCUGACCGAGCAACGCCGCGUGAGUGAAGAAGGUUUUCGGAUCGUAAAACUCUGUUGUUAGAGAAGAACAAGGAUGAGAGUGGAAAGUUCAUCCCUUGACGGUAUCUAACCAGAAAGCCACGGCUAACUACGUG